CAAGAGCCGGGGCGGAAUCAUUCCCGCUCGGUUUGAUUUCCCUUGGCUGGUUUCCUUACGCAACAGAGAGCACACAGGAGGCGGCGCCCUGAUUUGUGGAGGAUCUAUCAUAUCAGAAGACUAUGUACUGACGGCAGGGCAUUGUUUGAAACGUAGAGGCGACCUCGGGCUCGUGAUCAGAGCCGGAGACUACAAUUCCCGCUUCGUUGAAGGCAGUUUUGAGCAGGUGUUCGAAAUUGACAAGGUAUGGGUCCACGAGCGCUACGGAGAACAUAAUUCUCUUGACAACGACAUCGCUCUUAUCAAGAUUCAGCGAAGGAACGGCAGAGGCUUCAGGUAUGCACCAGGCUUAAAGUU